rnacentral:rRNA from 1 species
AUGAGCGGGGAGGUGGAAUGCAGCGUGUGCCACGCCAAGGUGGCCGUGCCGCCGGCGGCGGUGUCCAAGGCCUACGACAGCCACCGGAGCACCGUGUCGUCGCGGCAGCGCGCGCUCAACGUCCUCCUCGUCUCCGGCGACUGCGUCCUCGCCGGCCUCCAGCCGAUAUUGGUAUACAUGUGUAAAGUGGACGGGAAAUUCAAAUUUAGCCCAGUCAGUGUGAACUUCUUGACAGAGAUUACAAAAGUUAUCUUUGCCAUCAUCAUGCUGUUCUUCCAGGCUAGGCGUGUAAAGGUGGGAGAGAAGCCACUUCUCACAGUUUCAACAUUUGUGCAGGCUGCCCGCAACAAUGUUCUUCUCGCGGUGCCUGCUUUUCUCUAUGCCAUCAACAAUUAUUUGAAGUUUACAAUGCAGCUAUACUUUAAUCCCGCGACAGUGAAAAUGCUGGGUAAUCUCAAGGUUCUGAUAAUUGCUGUGCUCCUAAAGGUGUUACUGAGGAGGCGUUUUUCCACAAUUCAGUGGGAAGCCCUUGCACUGUUGUUAAUUGGAAUAUCUGUUAAUCAGCUGAAAUCAUUGCCUGAAGGUUCUACUGCACUUGGUCUUCCUGUUGCAGCUGGGGCCUACCUAUACACACUAUUUUUUAUAACAGUUCCUGCAUUGGCUUCAGUUUACAAUGAAAAGGCUCUGAAAAGCCAGUUCGAUACCAGCAUAUAUCUUCAGAACUUAUUUCUGUAUGGAUAUGGCGCAAUAUUUAAUUUCCUUGGGCUUGUGAUCACUGCCCUCGUCCAAGGGCCUCGUAGCUUUCACAUUCUGGAAGGGCAUUCAAAGGCCACUAUGUUUCUUAUUUGCAACAAUGCUGCACAAGGCAUACUUUCGUCAUUUUUCUUCAAAUAUGCAGAUACAAUUUUGAAGAAGUACUCAUCCACAAUCGCCACAAUCUUUACUGGGGUAGCGUCUGCUAUACUGUUCGGUCAUACUCUGACUAUAAAUUUUGUUCUUGGAAUAUCGAUAGUAAUUAUAUCUAUGCAUCAGUAUCUCGCAAACCAAAUUAAGGAUCAAGUGCCAAGCAGCAAAAUCGAGAUGUCUGAUGCUGAGGAUGACAGCAGAUUAGAGGAAUCUGUAAUUGUCAAAGUUGACACGGUGGCAAGUGAGGCUAAACACCGCCAUGGAUCUGAUGAGAGGCAGCCACUUCUUCCCGUCUGA